rnacentral:lncRNA from 1 species
AGGAGUAGGAUGAGAAUUUAUGAAUUGUGUUACGUAAGUUAGGGGAAUAUAAGUGGUUUGCUAGCUGAAUAAGUGUAGUUUAUGGAAGAGAAAAAAAAAUGAAUUUUUGGGUCAUGUGUUUUAGAAGCAGGAGUUUCUGUAAAUUCAGAAAAGAUUAUUACAAGGUCAGAGUGGACGACACCUAAGAGGUACAUAGACCUGAAGUGUUACUAUAAU